CCUGGGCCUUUCGCUUUCUGUUUCCCCCUCCCCGUUCCCGGGAUUGGAGCGAAACCGCCCGCAGCUCCCUGGAGCCUCCGGAGAAAUGCUCUCCUCCGCCAUGCAGAGCCUGGAGCUGCGGGAGCAGGACCUGACCGAGAUGGGCUCCCUGAUCCAAUCCUGUGUGGUGCUGGAGGUUUCCAGCCAGGUCCAAACCCUGCUGGAUUCACUGGACUCUGCCACUCUGGACAUCGCUGUGACAGGCGAAUCCGGCGCCGGCAAAUCCACCUUGGUCAACGCCCUCCGUGGCCUGAGCGACUCAGACCCCCGUGCCGCCCCCACCGGCGUCGUGGAGACCACCGCCGAGCCCACGCCCUACCCCCACCCCAGCCUCCCCAGCGUCCGGCUCUGGGAUCUCCCUGGCACCGGCACCUCCACCUUCCGGGCUGAGCGGUACCUGGAGCAGGUGGGGUUGAUCCGCUUCGAUUUCUUCCUCCUGGUGGCUUCGGAGCGGUUCCGGGAGAGCCACGCCCAGCUGGCCCAGGCCCUGGCCGCCGCGGGCAGGCCCUUCUACUUCAUCCGCACCAAGGUGGAUCAGGAUCUGCGGGCGUCCCGCCGGCGCCGACCGGGCCGCUUCCAGGAGGGCCAGGUGCUGGGCGAGAUCCGCGCAGACUGCGCCCGCCAGCUGGAGAAGGGAGGCGCGACAGCCCCACGGGUUUUCCUGCUCUCUGCCUUCCAGCUGCAUCGCUUUGACUUCCCGCGGCUGCAGGCCACGCUGGCGGAGGAGCUGGCCGGGCACAAGCGCCAUGCGCUGCUCCUGGCCCUGCCGGCUUUGACGGCUGAGGCCGUGGGGUGCCGGAAGGAGACGCUGCGGCGACACAUCUGGAAAAAGGCCCUGCUGGCAUCCCUGGUCUCGGCGCUGCCGGGGCUCCCGCUGCAGCUCAACGUGCCCAUGCUGGUGGAGACGCUGGGCUCCUACCGCCGCAGCUUCGGCCUGGAUGAGGAGUCCCUGGGGGUGUUGGCCCGGGCGGGUGCCGGGUCCCCGCAGUGGCUGCGGGCACAGGUGCGCUCAGAGCUGGCCCGGGAGCUCUCCCCGGCGGCCGUGCGGGACGUGCUGAGCCAGGCCGCGCUCUGUGGGCAGGCGGCCGCCCGCCUGGCCCGUGCCCGCCUGCCGCUGCUGGAGAACCUGGUGGCCGGCGGCAUCUCCUUUGUGGCCGCCUACUUCCUGCUGCACAGCGCCCUGGAGGACUUCGCCAGGGACGCCCAGCGGGUGCUGGAGGCCGCAUACAGGAUGGAGGAGGAGGGGGGGCCUUGUGAUCCCCCUGAUCCCGGGUUCCUCUAUGACUGAGGGAGGGGCCCUGCUGGGUGAGGGGGGCUGCUGGCAGCUUUGUGCCCCCGCCCCCAGCCCUCUCCUACUUCUAUCCCUCUCCCCCUUUCUACUUCCACCUCUGUCCCUUCACCGGGCCCCUCGGGGCUCCCUUAACAGAGCAAUAACCCCCCCCCAUCCCCACACCAGCUCCAUGGGGGGGCCAGGGCUGGGAGGACUCCCGGUGGGAUCAGAUAACACCAGGACCCCACAGCUCCCUGGAGAGCGAGGUGCAUUGUGGGUGGCCUGGGAGGGACGUGUGACCAUGGUUGGACCUCAGCAGAGCAUUGAGGGAGGAGGUGCCCAGGAGGAGAGCGGGGUGGCCUGCGGGGCAGGAUGAUGGCUGGCGCGGUGGUGGUCUCCUGCGCUGACGGGAUGGGCACCAUGUGCUCCCCAUGGUGACGUGGGGGCUGUGUCUCCUUCCAGCUGUGGUGUGGGAUUGUGCAAACCAAGGCCUGGUCUAUACAUCAAAUGUAGGUCAUCGGAGCCACAUUGCUGGGGGGCGGGAAUGACCCGCUGUGGCUAGGCUGACAUAACCCUGGUGUAGACACCGCUAGGCUGAUGGAAGGAACCUUUCGUUAACACAGCUACCGUCACUUGGGGAGGUUACGUUCCUAUGGCGAUGGCCAACCUCUUCCAUCGCUGUUGGGUGCGUCUACGCUACAGGGUUAGGCCAGUAUCGCCAUGGUGACCUAGCUACACCACUAACACCCCGUAGGGUAACCACGGCCCAGGGGAUUGCAGGAGGCAGAGGUUGGGGGCGACUUUCCCAGUGAAGCAGCCUUCUGUCGGAAAAUGGCCUCUUGUUGGAAUCGGAACGGUGUGUGGGAAAUUGCCACAAAAAUGUGCAUUGGGGAAAAAUAUUCAAGGAAAAAAAUCCCAUUUUGCUACGAGCGUUUGGAUGUCUGGGUUCAAAAUUUGUUUUCUGGUUGGUCGUUUUCAAUUUUUAACAAUUUGUAGAUGGUCAAAAUUGGAAGGAAACGGUUUGGUUUUAUCAGUUUUAUUUUCUUGGAUUUUUUUGUUUUGUUGGUUGGUUUUGAUUUCAAAAAAGUCAGCGUUGGAAAGAAAUAUUUUGAUUUUAUUGAAUUUUAUUUCACUGGAUUUGUUUAAAUUUUAAAAAAGUCAAUAGUGGAAGGAAACAUUUCAAUUAUGUUGAAUUUUUUAAAAAUCAAUAUCAGAAGGAAACGUAUUGGAUUUUAUUGCAUAUUUUAUUUUAUUAUAUUGACUUUUAAAGUUUGUAAAAGUUAAAACCAGAAGGAAACAUUUUGCAUUUAUUUUAUUGGAUUUUAUCAGAUUUUAUUUUAUUCAAAUUGAUUAUAUUGGAGUUUAUUUGAUCAGAUCUUUUAAAAAAUGUUAUUGAACAGGAAUGUUCCAAUCAGCCCCAAACCACAAUAGUUUUUCCCAACGAUUUUGUUUCAUGGGGAAAUUGUAGAAUUUAUUUUUGGUUUUCACCCUGAUUCAGAACAAAACCAAAUUUCAGAAUAUCCACAUUUCCCAUGGAGCAGAAAUUCUGACUUUGGAGCAGUUCUGACGAGGAGCCAAUCGUGGCCACGGGGUUUGGCUUGAGAGAUGCUGGAGGGAGACGAUUCACAAAGGCUGUGUCGCUCUCACGGGGCUGAGAAUCAGGCUCCUCUUUCAGUAUCCAGGGUGUGGAUUGAAUUGCCACCUCAAAUCCAGAUGUCAGAGCCCAAGUUCAGAGCCAUAAUACAGAUAAGGCAGAAAAUUCAAAACGAAUCCAAGGGAAUACAUUUCAGUGCGCAAUUGGCCUGUGGAACUCGCUGCCACGUGAUUGAAAAGUUCUGGAGCAGCCUCCCCCUAGGACAGCCAGGAAUAGAACCCAGGAGUCCAGGCCCCUAGUGGCAGAAAUGCCCCAGUUUUCCUGAAAAACAGAGCUGGCCAUGCCCACACCCUGUGACCACCUGUGGAAAAGGAAAGGAAAGGAAACGAAACCAGGGGACUGAACUUUGGACUCAUGGAAACUGCACAAAUAUUGAUCCUUCACCAGAAUGGGAACCUCCCUGGAGACAAUGGAAUGUAAAACAAUAGGAACCAGCCACGAGAAGCCAUAAAAGUUAAAUAGUAAAAGCUGAAGCCACUGUACCAGGCCAAGGGCCUCCCGCGCCCAGGAAAGACGCCCCACAAGGCCGGGGGAUCUGUGCUGCCUUCCUCUGUCUUGGCAAUUGCAGCAGUGGGACCUUUGGUUUCCCCUGGAGGACGCCUUGGAGGUCUCGGAGAUGUAGCUUCUCACCGAGCAAAGAGAGUCAGUGGAGCCAGAUCAGCCAUUGAUCUGUUGGUGUGAACGGACUUUCUGGUACAAUAAAGCACGGUCUCUAUUUUUA